UACGAGAGGGGCAAGCGUUAUUCAGAAUGAUUGGGCGUAAAGAGCACGUAGACGGUUUUUUUAUUUUAUAUUUGAAAACUCAAAGCUUAACUUUGAGAUGAAAUAUCUUAAAAUAUAAAACUUGAGUAAGUGAGAGGAGAAUGGAAUUUCUGGAGGAGAGGUAAAAUUUGUUGAUUUCAGGAGGAACACCAAAAGUGAAAACAGUUCUCUGGCACUUCACUGACGUUGAGGUGCGAAAGCGUGGGGAUCAAAAGGG
rnacentral:rRNA from 1 species